AGUGGCGGACGGGUGAGUAACGCGUGGGUAACCUGCCUCACACUGGGGGACAACAGUUAGAAAUGACUGCUAAUACCGCAUAAGCGCACAGGACCGCAUGGUCCGGUGUGAAAAACUCCGGUGGUGUGAGAUGGACCCGCGUUUGAUUAGCUAGUUGGUGGGGUAACGGCCUACCAAGGCGACGAUCAAUAGCCGACCUGAGAGGGUGACCGGCCACAUUGGGACUGAGACACGGCCCAA
rnacentral:rRNA from 1 species